rnacentral:rRNA from 1 species
CUGGUUGAUCCUGCCGGAGAUCACCGCUAUUGGGGUUCGGCUAAGCCAUGCGAGUCAUUGGCAGCAAUGCCAAGGCGUAAUGCUGAGUAACACGUUGUUAACCUGCCCUUAAGUCCGGGAUAAUCUCGGGAAACUGAGUCUAAUACCAGAUAGGCGAUAAUUCCUGGAACGGUUUAUCGCCCAAAGCUUCGGCGCUUAAGGAUGGGACUGCGGUAGAUUAGGUUGAUAUCAGGGUAAUGGCCUAAUAUGCCUAUAAUCUAUAGGGGCUGUGAGAGCAGUUGCCCCCAGAUGGGUUCUGAGACAUGAAUCCAGGCCCUACGGGGUGCAGCAGGCGCGAAAACUUUACACUGCGGGAAACCGCGAUAAGGGGACCCCGAGUGCCAGUACCUAGUGCUGGCUGUCCCGCUGUCCAAACAACAGUGGUUAGCAAGGGCCGGGCAAGACCGGUGCCAGCCGCCGCGGUAACACCGGCGGCCCGAGUGGUAGCCGUUAUUAUUGGGUUUAAAGGGUCCGUAGCCGGCUUAUUAAGUCUCUUGGGAAAUCUGGCGACUUAAUCGUCAGGCGUCCAAGAGAUACUGAUAGGCUUGGGACCGGGAGAGGUGGGAGGUACUCCAGGGGUAGGGGUGAAAUCUCGUAAUCCUUGGGGGACCACCGAUGGCGAAGGCAUCCCACCAGAACGGGUCCGACGGUGAGGGACGAAAGCUGGGGGCACGAACCGGAUUAGAUACCCGGGUAGUCCCAGCUGUAAACGAUGCUCGCUAGGUGUCAGGUGCGGUGCGACCGCAUCUGGUGCCGUAGUGAAAACUUGAAGCGAGUCACCUGGGAAGUACGGUCGCAAGGCUGAAACUUAAAGGAAUUGGCGGGGGAGCACUACAACGGGUGGAGCCUGCGGUUCAAUUGGAUUCAACGCCGGA